GACGAACGCUGGCGGCGUGCUUAACACAUGCAAGUCGAACGGUGAAGCGCCUUCCUUUUUGGUGGGUGUGGAUGAGUGGCGAACGGGUGAGUAACACGUGAGUAACCUGCCCCCUUCUUCUGGAUAACCGCAUGAAAGUGUGGCUAAUACGGGAUAUUCUGGGUCUGUCGCAUGAUGGGUCUGGGAAAGAUAUUGUUUCGGUGGGGGAUGGGCUCGCGGCCUAUCAGCUUGUUGGUGGGGUGAUGGCCUACCAAGGCGGUGACGGGUAGCCGGCCUGAGAGGGUGGACGGUCACACUGGGACUGAGACACGGCCCCGACUCCUACGGGAGGCAGCAGUGGGGAAUAUUGCACAAUGGGCGCAAGCCUGAUGCAGCGACGCCGCGUGAGGGAUGGAGGCCUUCGGGUUGUGAACCUCUUUCGCCAGUGAAGCAGGCCUGCCUCGUUUGUGGGUGGGUUGACGGUAGCUGGAUAAGAAGCGCCAGCUAACUACGUG
rnacentral:rRNA from 1 species